UACAGCCAUAUCACAUUGAAACUCCAGUUCCUAUACAAUCACCAAAGUUAAGCAAGGUUGAGCCUGGCUGUUGACUAGAUGAGUGACCAUUUGGGAAUAUCAGGUGCUGUAAG